GAUGAAGAACGUAGCGAAAUGCGAUAAGUAAUGUGAAUUGCAGAAUUCAGUGAAUCAUCGAAUCUUUGAACGCACCUUGCGCCCUUUGGCUAUUCCGAAGGGCAUGCCUGUUUGAGUAUCAUGAACACCUCAACUCUUCACGGCUUGCCGUGAUGAGUUUGGACUUUGGGGGUCUUGCUGGCCUAUGAGCCAGCUCCUCUCAAAUGUAUUAGCUUGCCGGUGUUUGGUGGCAUCACAGGUGUGAUAACUAUCUACGCUUGUGGUUUUCCACUAGGUAACCUUCAGCAAUGGAGGUUCACCGGAGCUCACAAAUGUCUCUCCUUGCCAGGACAGAUUUUGACCAUUUGAUCUCAAAUCAGGUAGGACUACCCGCUGAACUUAAGCAUAUCAAUAAGCGGAGGA
rnacentral:misc_RNA from 1 species